UCGAGGAUCUUCGGCAAUGGGCGCAAGCCUGACCGAGCGACGCCGCGUGUGCGAAGAAGGCCUUCGGGUUGUAAAGCACUGUCGAGGGGAAGAAAGCCGCAAGGUUGAUCGACCCCUGGAGGAAGCACGGGCUAAGUUCGUGCCAGCAGCCGCGGUAAGACGAACCGUGCGAACGUUAUUCGGAUUCACUGGGCUUAAAGGGCGCGUAGGCGGGUUCUCAAGUCGGUGGUGAAAUCUUUCGGCUCAACCGGAAAAUCGCCUCCGAUACUGGGAAUCUCGAGGGAGGUAGGGGCAUGUGGAACUUCCGGUGGAGCGGUGAAAUGCGUAGAUAUCGGAAGGAACGCCGGUGGCGAAAGCGACGUGCUGGACCCUUUCUGACGCUGAGGCGCGAAAGCCAGGGGAGCAAACGGGAUUAGAUACCCCCGUAGUCC
rnacentral:rRNA from 1 species